AGAGAAUUUUGCAAUUUUAUUUCAAGCAAUUAUACACAAUUUGUCAUGUGGUGCAAAGCACAUUUUGCAGUUUAAAAGCAAAUUUUCUUGCAAUACUAUACAUUUUGCCAUGUCUAAUGUUUGUUGUGUAUUUUGAGUGACAAAAAAAUUUGUGCCUGGCCUCCCGAGUGGUGCAGCAGUCUAAGACACUGCAUCACAGCACUAGAGGCAUCACUACAGACCCGGGUUAGAUCUCGGGCUGUAUCCCAACCGGCUGUGAUCGGGAGUCCAAUAGGGCGGCGCAAAAUUGGCCCAGCGUCAUCCGGGUUUAGGGGAGGGUUUGGCCGGGAGGCGCUUUACUUGGCUCAUUGCGCUCUAGUGACUCUUUGUGGCUGGCCGGGUGCCUGCAGGCAGACUUCGGUCGUCAGUUGAAUGGCGUUUCCUCCAAAACAUUGGUGCGGCUGGCUUCUUGAUUAAGCAGGCGUGUGCAAAAAAGCGUGGUUCAGGGGAAGCAGGCGGGUGCUAAGAAGCGUGGUUUCGGGGGACGCAUUACUCGAACUUCGCCUCCCGAGCCCGUUGGGGAGUUGCAGCAAGGAGACAAGAUCAAAAUUGGGGACAAAGAGGGGGGUAAAAUACAAAAAAUAAAUAAACAUAAAUGAGUGACAAAAAAAUUACAACAAUAUCUAUGGGCUAAAAAACCUAGAUAAGAAAACAUUAGCUGACAUGGGCUAGUUGAUUUCUGAAGUUAUAAAUAGCUCUCUAAGGUAUGCAAUGACUGUAAUGACAAGAGGAACUGAUGAUGCGCUACCCGAUUUCGAAUUUGCACCUUGUGCAUUCUACUAUUACAACUUUCAACAGAAAGUUUAAAGCCGGACUGUGUUCCAUUAUUAUUUAUUUUUUUCAUUUGGGAGGUGGGGGACCCCCGUGCCGCCCUUGCUGACCCGUCGCAGCCCCCCUAGGGGGCAUGUCCACAGUUUGGGAACCACUGGUCUAGGCAACGCUGUUGGUUCAUUGAUUGUGCAGAGCAGCUAACAGAGUUAUUCUACAAUUAUAGUCCAUUAUUUUGAAUAGCCUAGUAAUAGGCAAUUUUUUAUAUUUUCCUAAUUAAUAGGCUGACACAUUACCUUUAGCUACACAAUAUCUCACCACAAGCCAUAUCCUUCAUUAGAUUUCAUGCACCAGCUGUUGUUUACAAAUAUACAUAGAUCGCCGCUGUCCUAUCCUGCCGAUACAGCUUAAAACCCGCCAGCUGCAUGUUAUUCAUGUCGUCGUUCAGCCACGACUCAGUUAAACAUAAGAUAUUACAUUUUUUUAUAUCCCGUUGGUAGGAUAUACGUGAUCAUAGUUUGUCUAUUUUAUUAUCCAAUGAUUGAACGUUGGCUAAUAGGACCGAUGGUAAAGGCAGAUUAUGUGGAUGAGGGUAAAUCCCGUCUGAAGUAAAUCCUUCGCGUCUGACUUGUUAAACAUAUGUAUGAAACAUAUGUACAAGAGCUAGCAAUAUCUAUACCACAAUGCAGUUGUGAGCAUACUAGGUAUUCUAUAUUAAUCAAUCAAAUUUAUUUUUAUAUAGCCCUUCGUACAUCAGCUGAUAUCUCAAAGUGCUGUACAGAAACCCAGCCUAAAACCCCAAACAGCAAGCAAAGCAUGUGAAAGAAGCACGGUGGCUAGGAAAAACUCCCUAGGAAAAACUCCCUAGAAAGGCCAAAAACCUAGGAAGAAACCUAGAGAGGAACCAGGCUAUGAGGGGUGGCCAGUCCUCUUCUGGCUGUGCAGGGUGGAUAUUAUAACAGAACAUGGUCAAGAUGUUAAAAUGUUCAUAAAUGACCAGCAUGGUCAAAUAAUAAUAAUCAUAGUAGUUGUCGAGGGUGCAACAAGCACGUCCGGUGAACAGGUCAGGGUUCCAUAGCCGCAGGCAGAACAGUUGAAACUGGAGCAGCAGCACGGCCAGGUGGACUGGGGACAGCAAGGAGUCAUCAUGCCAGGUAGUCCUGAGGCAUGGUCCUAGGGCUCAGGUCCUC
rnacentral:lncRNA from 1 species